rnacentral:rRNA from 1 species
AUUGAACGCUGGCGGCAGGCCUAACACAUGCAAGUCGAACGAGUGGCGGACGGGUGAGUAAUGUCUGGGAAACUGCCCGAUGGAGGGGGAUAACUACUGGUAACGGUAGCUAAUACCGCAUACCAUUGGAUGUGCCCAGAUGGGAUUAGCUAGUGGGUGGGGUAACGGCUCACCUAGGCGACGAUCCCUAGCUUGUCUGAUAGGAUGACCAGACAGACAGGAACUGAGACACGGUCCAGACUCCUACAGGAGGCAGCAGUGGGGAAUAUUGAACAAGGGGCGCAAGCCUGAUGCAGACAAGCCGCGUGAAUGAAGAAGGCAUUCGGGUUGUAAAGUACUUUCAGCGGGGAGGCGUUAACCGCAGAAGAAGCACCGGCUAACUCCGUGCCAGCAGCCGCGGUAAUUA